CAGUAGCCGCGGGAACACGAAGGGGGCUAGCGUUGUUCGGAUUUACUGGGCGUAAAGCGCACGUAGGCGGAUCGUUAAGUCGGGGGUGAAAUCCUGGAGCUCAACUCCAGAACUGCCUUCGAUACUGGCGAUCUUGAGUCCGGAAGAGGUGAGUGGAACUCCUAGUGUAGAGGUGGAAUUCGUAGAUAUUAGGAAGAACACCAGUGGCGAAGGCGGCUCACUGGUCCGGUACUGACGCUGAGGUGCGAAAGCGUGGGGAGCAAACAGGAUUAGAUACCCCGGUAGUCCCUGUCUCUUAUAC
rnacentral:rRNA from 1 species